rnacentral:siRNA from 1 species
UGUAGAUCGGCUAAGCACUGCAUA